GACAGAGGUGCCGAGCGUUAGGCGGAAUCACUGGGCUUAAAGCGUGUGUAGGCGGAUUGGUAAAGUACCGUUGUGAAAUCCCACAGCUCAACUGUGGAACUGCUGGGUAUACUGCUUAUCUUGAGCCACUUAGGGGCUGUCGGAACAAAUGGUGGAGCGGUGAAAUGCGUAGAUAUCAUUUGGAACGCCAAAGGUGAAAACAGACAAGCUGGGGAGUGAUGCUGACGCUGAGACACGAAAGCCAGGGGAGCGAACGGG
rnacentral:rRNA from 1 species